UUUUCUUGUUAGUUUCUGAAGUAUGGCCUGCCCGCUGAUUGAAGGCCCGCGGUAUUUUGACCGUGCAAAGGUAGCAUAGUCAUUAGUUCUUUAAUUGUGAUCUGGUAUGAAUGGUUUGACGAGACGUUUACUGUCUUUUUGAAUUUAGAUUUUGAGUUAAAAUUCUUAAAUGUUUUUAUGGGACGAGAAGACCCUAUAGAGUUUUACAUUUGGUUCUUUUGUUUGUUUUGAGUUUUUGCGUUUGUUUUGUUGGGGUGAUGGGAGGAAUUUUUUAACUCCUCUUUGUUGAUAUAUUGAUUUGUAUUUAUUUGAUCCAUUUAUUUUGAUUAUAAGAUUAAAUUACCUUAGGGAUAACAGCGUUAUCCUCCCUGAGAGUUCUUAUUGGCGGGAGGGUUUGCGACCUCGAUGUUGGAUUAAGGUUAAUUUUUGGUGUAGGAGCUGAAUUGAUUAGGUCUGUUCGACCUUUAAAAUCUU
rnacentral:rRNA from 1 species